rnacentral:rRNA from 1 species
AGUUCGGAUUGCAGGCUGCAACCCGCCUGCAUGAAGCUGGAAUCGCUAGUAAUCGCGGAUCAGAAUGCCGCGGUGAAUACGUUCCCGGGUCUUGUACACACCGCCCGUCACACCAUGGGAGUCGGUAACGCCCGAAGUCAGUGACCCAACCGAAAGGAGGGAGCUGCCGAAGGCGGGACUGGUAACUGGGGUGAAGUCGUAACAAGGUAAC